rnacentral:lncRNA from 1 species
AUUGCCGUGGUUGGAGGUCUAUAUACUGCAUGCCAAAGAGACCAGCAUUUAAGGGGUCAGCUCCCAUUAACUUGUCUGAUCGUCUCAACCAGGUGCUUCGGUGGGCUCUUGGCUCUGUUGAAAUCUUCUUCAGUCGUCACAGCCCUGUCUGGUAUGGCUACAAGGGAGGAAACCUCAAGUGGCUCGAGCGAUUUGCAUAUGUCAACACAACAGUCUAUCCCUUCACCUCCUUACCUCUCCUUGCCUAUUGUACUCUUCC